UAGGGAAUCUUCCGCAAUGGACGCAAGUCUGACGGAGCAACGCCGCGUGAGUGAAGAAGGAUUUCGGUUCGUAAAACUCUGUUGUUAGAGAAGAACAGCGCAUAGAGUAACUGUUAUGCGUGUGACGGUAUCUAACCAGAAAGCCACGGCUAACUACGUGCCAGCAGCCGCGGUAAUACGUAGGUGGCAAGCGUUGUCCGGAUUUAUUGGGCGUAAAGCGAGCGCAGGCGGUCAAUUAAGUCUGAUGUGAAAGCCCCCGGCUCAACCGGGGAGGGUCAUUGGAAACUGGUUGACUUGAGUGCAGAAGAGGAGAGUGGAAUUCCAUGUGUAGCGGUGAAAUGCGUCGAUAUAUGGAGGAACACCAGUGGCGAAGGCGACUCUCUGGUCUGUAACUGACGCUGAGGCUCGAAAGCGUGGGUAGCAAACAGG
rnacentral:rRNA from 1 species